AGCGGACUUUCCUACCUGCUGGGGCUUGGCCGGGAGGGGCAGGGUCUGACCCCGCUGGCUCCAGGGCACUUGGAAGGCUCGGGAUGAAGGGGUGAGAAUUCACCCAGUGAUCACCCACCUUACAAUUUUACAGCCAAACCUUAUUCUCGGGAGAAUUUUCUCCUUUCUCUCUUUAUUUUGGCUUUGAACACCAAAACCCACCACCCGCUUUGUGGGGGUUUUGAGGUUUUUUUUGUUUAUUUUUAGUGAAAGAAAGUCCUUUCUCAUCUCAAACCCACCCAUCUCCAGGAGCACCAGCAGGGCUGGGUGGGUUUCUCUUUGCAGCCGAGCUGGGCAUCUCCUCAGAGCUCUUUCCUCAAGGAAAAUGCUUAUUUUUGAAGAAGAAGGGAGCAAGUGGAGCCCUGCCCGUGCUGUCCCACUGCCCGUCUCCACCCGGGGCUUUUGCCAACACCAGGACAAGCCGACAGCGAGGGUGAAGGCAAGCUGCCUCCCUCCUCCGGUGCGAAGGAUGGCCAACGGAGCAGGUUGCCAUGGAGAACCGGGAUUACUCUGCGCGUGUGUGUGUGUGUACCGAGGCCGGCGAAGGGGGGGAAGAAAAAAAAAACCAUCGUAAUUUCUUUUCCCAAACCUUUGCGAUGGAGCGCUAUGCCGUCGGCAGCCUUGGGAGCUACAACCUCCCAACCCCAUCGCCAUCCCCUCCUCCCUUACUCCUUCGAGCCCAGCUUCUGCAGCAGCUCCUCCAUCGGGCUCUUAUCUCCAAUAAUCCCCCCGUAAGAGGGCUUUCUGCUUGUUAUGACACCCAGUGAAAGCGUGGGAGAAAGAUCCUUUCUUCGCCCUUGUCCUCCACAGCCAGCCACUAGCCUGAAUGGGAGGCUUUUUUGUGUCUCUGUGUGCCUGACUAAUUGAGCUGAAGGACUUGCGUCUGGAAGGGCUUGAAAGGGACUUUUGUUGCCGCUGCGGAGUUUGUGGAAGGCGAAUGAGUCCUGCUUUCUUAGGGGACGCGGGUCCUGGGCAAAUUUGACUCUCGAGUGCUCACGCCUCUGGGAAAAAUCAGAAAAAAAGGGUGGUGGGUUUGGGGUUUGUUUUGUACAUGGGUUUUUUUUGUUGUUUUUAGGAGGGCUGUUGGCGCUGGGAAAUUAAGAAGCCGGUGCUGGAAAGGUUGGUGAGCUGGCUUGAAAAAAAAGAGCGUAGUGAAAUGAGUUAAAAAUAACAAUAUCGGGAGCUUUUGCCUCCAAAAAUAGUAGUAUUGAGAGCCUUCUUCUCCAAAAAUAGCAGUAUUGAGCGCAUUUUCCUCCUGCUUUUUUAGCGCCUGGUAAUCAAAACCCAAAUUCCCUUUGUGAUCCCACUAGAAUUUUUUUUUGUGGUCUAAAGGCACUUCCAUGCGCAUCCCGAGAAACGACGAGCAUUGACUAUUAUGAGGCGGUUUGAGUCACUGCUGCAAAAUUCUUCUCUUUUCCUUUUGCCCUUGAUCGGAAGGAUGAAAAGUAGGGAUUGUCCCUGAGAGGGUUUGAAUUUGUGCAUGGUGCAAGGUCACCCCUGGGUGAUUCCUGGCCCAGGACCGCGUGAGCAUGCAGGAGGGGAGCUUUCUGCAACCUACAACAGCCUUAAACCCCAGAUCCUUCCUAAAAAAUAAACCACCUGGAAGGAAAACCAAGAGAUUUGCUGCAGCGGUUUGGAAAUUCAAAGGUUUUUCUCUGCUGGGAAGGUGGGUUUGGACCACCUGGCUGGGGCCUUUGGGGACUUUGCUCCUGCUGCUCCAUGUCCCAUCCCAAAGACUUGAUGUUUCCAUGUUUUUCUGUCCAGGAUAUUUUCUUCCUGCUUAUUUUUUAUGGUCUAACGCUGGAUUCACUCCAAAACCAGCAGCACCCUCUCCCAGCCUGGGUUUUCCCCAUGGCGCGGCUUAGGAAGAGUCCUGUGCCAAGUCUAGUGCUGAGCAUCCCAUCUGGAAACCUUGCAAGGAGGGAAAAUAUAUAUUUUUGCAGGGGAAAACCAGGGAUUUGGGGCAGGAAAAAAAAGCCUGGCACAUGGCAAAGUUUGGGCAGAGUCACUUGUGGCUUUUUAAAUGGGCUGCUGGUACGGAUAGGGAAGAAAGCAGUUGGAUGAGGGAUGUUCCGAGCUUCUGUUGCUUCAUUCACAUUCCAAGCUUCUCUUGGGACGUGCAGCCCUUGGGCCUCGUCAAGAUGCCGCUUGAAAUUAUAAUCAAAAAUAAGCUUCCUUUGUCAUUUUUUCCCUUUUCCCCUCUUAUUUUUCCUUCUUUCCAGUGAUAUCGCAGUGCUCUCUGCACAAGGAACCGCUGUCAAAGCUGCCAGGCUCCAUCCCACCCCCUGUGUGGAUAAACACUCCCAGCAUGGGUUGUUUGGCAGGCGGUUUCUAAUGCAAAGUGACUUAAAACAUUUUGAAAGUUGCAUUUUUUUGUGUGUGAUUUGGGUGACAGAGGAGCUGCAGAGGUCCAUGGAGCCUCUUUUCUCUUUCCCUUGGGCUGCGUAAAAUCCAGGGCCAAAGAGAUGCUUCAAGAAUGGGGAAAAAAACAGAGCAAAUACGUUGGGAACAGAUGUGAACGUGAAAUCUGAUGGAGAGGAGAGGUGAAGGCGGAGAAAAAGAGCAGCCUGAGGUCCGUCCCGCCACGGCUCCAGGGAUGCCUUUGGCACCAGGUAUUGGCUAAGCGACUCCAAACUCGUUACCGGCUUGGGGAGGAGAGUGGGUUCAACCUCUGUGAUGGUCAUCAUCUGGCUGGUGAAUCGCAUGUCCCUGGUCCUGGUGAAAUUUCUCAGGGAACUUCCCGCUCAACUCACUAUAACGUGAACGCCGGAGGUGGGGCUAUAUGGAAGAGAAGUCGCUUCCAAAAGCCAGGAGACACUGCCCGUGUGGGAGCUGCCUGCAGGACCCUCAGCAGAAGCCCCUCACCACGGCUGAUCCUGUGGGCACCCUCCUCCUCUUCCUCCUCCUGGCCCGGAGCGUGACGUAGAUGAUGAUUUGCACCAGCAUCCAUCCAAGCUGCUCGGGGCUCCCACCAGCACCGGUUUGGGAAUGGAUGGGGUGGAGAGGACACCAAGAUGGUCCCAACCUGCUGCUUCGCAUCACUCCUGGGCAGCUCGCUGGUGAAGACGACGAAGCUGCAAGGGGGGGAAAAAAAAGAAGAAAAGGAAAGGAAAAAAAAGUCACCAAACAGAGGAAAUCUGUGCUAAUUGCUUAUGAAUGUCUCUGUCGAAGAAAUUAUCGAAUUGAUGUUGUCGCACUUUUUUUUGACAGCCUGUCUGUUAGGGUUUUUUUUUUUUUUAAAUAUUCAUGCGCCGAAAUCUAAUUACCAGGCGAAUUUAAUGAUAAUGAAAUGAAGGCACUUUAGCAGAAAGCAGAGGGUCUGGGUAAUGUUUUCUCAGCCUCUGCCUUGUUGGUAUUUCUACAAUUAUUUUAUUUUUUACAACUGUAUAUUGAAAAAAAGAAAAAAGGAUUGCUGAAAAUAAAACUUGGA